GUCUACGGCCAUAUGACCCUGAAUGCACACAAUCUUGUCUGAUCUCAGAAGCUAAGCAGGAUCUGGCCUGGUUAGUACUUGGAUGGGAGACCACCUGGGAAUACUGGGUACUGUAGGUU
rnacentral:rRNA from 1 species